CUACGGCCAUACCACCCUGAAUGCGCCCGAUCUCGUCUGAUCUCGGAAGCUAAGCAGGGUCGGGCCUGGUUAGUACUUGGAUGGGAGAAUUAAAUUUGUGAGCGGGUUUCAAGUUGC
ensembl:rRNA 5S_rRNA 5S ribosomal RNA